UCAGGACGAACGCUGGCGGCGUGCUUCAUACAUGCAAGUCGAACGAGAAUCUCACUUCGGUGAGAGGAAAGUGGCGGACGGGUGAGUAAUGUGUAGAGAAUCUGCCCUAGAGUGAGGGACAACAGAGGGAAACUUCUGCUAAUACCUCAUAUGCGCGUAGCUGAGAUGCUAUUCGUGAAAACUCCGGUGCUCUGGGAUGAGUCUGCAUCUGAUUAGCUAGUUGGGGGUGUAAUGGACCACCAAGGCGACGAUCAGUAGCUGGUUUGAGAGGAUGAUCAGCCACAAUGGGACUGAGACACGGCCCAUACUCCUACGGGAGGCAGCAGUAGGGAAUUUUGCGCAAUGGGGGAAACCCUGACGCAGCAACGCCGCGUGAACGAAAAAGCCCUUCGGGGUGUAAAGUUCUGUCAGUGGGGACGAAACUUGACGGUACCCACAGAGGAAGCAUCGGCUAACUCCGUGCCAGCCGCCGC
rnacentral:rRNA from 1 species